rnacentral:snoRNA from 11 species
AUGGCUUCAUGUUUUAUGUAAGCUUACAGCUGUAUGCUAAGUUUAAUUAGUUAAUGCUGCUAAUUAUGAAGCCUAAAAAGUUGUGUUUCCCUCGCUAUCCAGUGCUGUAAUUAAUGCUGUAUUGGACGUCGGGAAACUACAUUU